GGAAGCGGAAGUCCGGAUUUCCGGCCGGCGCUUGAAGGUGCGGAUUCCGGGCUUCCGGGUGGGCGUGGGGGCCGGACGAGCUAGGGGUCGGCGGCGUGGCAAGAGGACAGGGCUAUGGAGAAGCUGCGGCGCGUCUUGAGCGGCCAGGACGACGAGGAGCAAGGCCUGACGGCGCAGGAUGGCCCAGAUCUUGAGAGACCAUUUUAAAACGCCAAAGAAACACAGGGGGUGUCACACCCAAGUGGAGGACAAAGAGAAGGCAGCACAGCAGACCUUGCCGGAACAGUCGCAGCCCGAAGCUUGGUCAGCAUCCCCGCCCAAGGCUUCAACCAGGUUCCCUUCCAGGUCCAACGCCUACCUGAUUAUAGGGUUGCAAAACGAGCUGACCAAAUGUGGGAUCUUGAAGAACAUGAGCGACGACGAGGAUUUCUGGAAACUGGUUCAGGAGGAAGCUCUUGGAGUGGGAACUAAAGAAAAGCUCCAGAAGAUAAAACUUAAGUUGAUGAAUCCCAGGCCCUGGCCACCAGCUGCUUCCAGGAGAAGGGAGACCGAGAUGCUGGUCAGCAGUGAUCAAGACAGUGGGGCACGCCAGGGAACACAGGACCAUCCAGGGAGAGAACAGGAAGUUGUGGAGGAUGGCCCGGAGAAGGAGAGGAUAAAACAGGGCCCGCACCAACCUGGCUUGGAUCCACC
rnacentral:lncRNA from 1 species